rnacentral:rRNA from 1 species
CAGGGCUUGACAUCCCGCUAACGAGGUAGAGAUACGUUAGGUGCCCUUCGGGGAAAGCGGAGACAGGUGGUGCAUGGUUGUCGUCAGCUCGUGUCGUGAGAUGUUGGGUUAAGUCCCGCAACGAGCGCAACCCCUAUUGUUAGUUGCUACGCAAGAGCACUCUAGCGAGACUGCCGUUGACAAAACGGAGGAAGGUGGGGACGACGUCAAAUCAUCAUGCCCCUUAUGUCCUGGGCUACACACGUAAUACAAUGGCGGUCAACAGAGGGAGGCGAAGCCGCGAGGCGGAGCGAACCCCCAAAAGCCGUCCCAGUUCGGAUCGCAGGCUGCAACCCGCCUGCGUGAAGUCGGAAUCGCUAGUAAUCGCGGAUCAGCAUGCCGCGGUGAAUACGUUCCC